rnacentral:rRNA from 1 species
AUUGAACGCUGGCGGCAGGCCUAACACAUGCAAGUCGAGCGGAUGAAGGGAGCUUGCUCCUGGAUUCAGCGGCGGACGGGUGAGAAAUGCCUAGGAAUCUGCCUGGUAGUGGGGGAUAACGUCCGGAAACGGGCGCUAAUACCGCAUACGUCCUGAGGGAGAAAGUGGGGGGUCUUCGGACCUCACGCUAUCAGAUGAGCCUAGGUCGGAUUAGCUAGUUGGUGGGGUAAAGGCCUACCAAGGCGACGAUCCGUAACUGGUCUGAGAGGAUGAUCAGUCACACUGGAACUGAGACACGGUCCAGACUCCUACGGGAGGCAGCAGUGGGGAAUAUUGGACAAUGGGCGAAAGCCUGAUCCAGCCAUGCCGCGUGUGUGAAGAAGGUCUUCGGAUUGUAAAGCACUUUAAGUUGGGAGGAAGGGCAGUAAGUUAAUACCUUGCUGUUUUGACGUUACCAACAGAAUAAGCACCGGCUAACUUCGUG